GUGAGGAAUAUUGGUCAAUGGGCGAGAGCCUGAACCAGCCAAGUAGCGUGAAGGAUGACUGCCCUAUGGGUUGUAAACUUCUUUUAUAAAGGAAUAAAGUCGGGUAUGGAUACCCGUUUGCAUGUACUUUAUGAAUAAGGAUCGGCUAACUCCGUGCC
rnacentral:rRNA from 1 species